GUGUUUGAACUAGAGCAUAGGUUUGAGAAAAACAGCCAAUCAAUUCAAACAUUGCCAAGGGGAAAUCCAUCACAACUGUUGGUAACUUGUUCCAAUGGUUAGUUAUCUUCACUGUUAAAAAGUGUGGUAGUGCCUGGCUCCAUCAACAUGACAUUCAGCAUGAACAGACCAGCACAAGACCAAAAUAAAUGGUGGAAACUGAUGGAGGCCCUAUGCACCCGAGAUUGUGGGAGGAUAAAGAAGAUGAUCGACUCAUGGAUCAAAGCCCCAUUAUGCUAGCAGGUUCCUUGUUGCCUUGAAAUCUGCAUGAAAGUGGAAAUGAAACUACUGGAAUACAUUGCGAUUUAAGAUUUUUCUUCAGAAACAACUGAUAAAUCUGCGUGGAAUUUCCUUUUUUUCUGAAGACCUAGGGAGCUUAUAUUCUCCUUGUGAGGCGAAAUCUGAAAACUUUUCUCUCCCAAAAUACAAACUGCAAGGGAAUUGUUAUUUGUGUAUGAGGCUUACAUAUAAAUUUUGGUUUCUCUAAGUAAGCAAGUCAAUUCAAAGUAUUUAAUGUACAUAGAGAAUUUUUAUAAUUCAGUAGUAAUUCCAGCUUUCCCUGAAAGGAGCUUAAAACACUACUUGCUGUUCAAUGUUUAAUACUGGUCCAAACUACCCUGUCACAGACAAAAGAGAGAUUUACAAUUCUUGCAAUGUGCUUGCAAACCCAAAGAUGAGAGGACCUUCGGAUUUAUAUACUCUUGAUUGACUGUAACCUUUUGCCUUCUCCAGGUACUUCUGAGCACCUUGUAGCUAUUAGGCUAGCAAAGCAAAAAAGUUUAAAGGACAACAAUUUAAUCCUUUCCAGUGCAUGUAUCUGUCUCAUUAAAGCAUUCUCCUGUAGCAGUGUAAUGAUACAUUAAAUGGAAUCCAU